AUAUAUAUUUUAACUGUUCCCAAAACUUUCUACCACUUUGGGAAAUGAGAAGUCAAAUUCCACAGGGAAUGUUCACUCACAUAAUCACAACACUAGGCCGAUUCAGAUUUAAUAAGGGAUAAGAACAGACCCAAAGAAAUCAGUUGGACGUGAGCAAGUAAACUAAAUGAUUUCUUCCUGAUUUCAAUGGUCUCCUCUAAUUUUUGAUAGGAUCCAUUAGCGUGUGGUUCAAGAGUUGUUGAUACAAGGGGGAAGAGUUCAGCCAUCUCUUUAAAGAUAAUAGAUGGUAAAAUAUGUUUUCUCUCCUUCUUCUUUUGCAGAGGUAUGAAUAAGACAUGAAGGAGACCCUUUGUUGUUGUUUCAAAGGCCACAUCAACAUUUCUACAAAGGAAUCCCAAGGGUCUUGUUGCCACUUCACUCUCUGAUGAAGCAGAUUAGCUGCCUCACUAGGUGACAUCAUAGAGUAACUAGUUGAAAACAGCACUUCAAGGGCUCCUUUAAAAAAUAUAGGAAGAAUUAAGUGAGUCUGUCUCGUUUAAUUUCAUUUAAUUUAAGUGAUCCUCUGAACUGCAUUCCUUUGCACUAGCAGUGAGCUAGGAGCCAUGCUGACUGAUUAAUGCUUGGCUGUUUGAAGUAUACUCUUUUCUUAUCUGGUCCUGUGCAGGCCUCAUGAAAGCCCGGGGAGACCUGCUGGUAAGUCAGACCUCAGGGAGAUUUUUGUCUGCUGCAUCCUGAGGAGGAGGAUGAAGAAGAGAUAAAUGGCAGGCCGUACAACAGAAAACAAAAUGAAAACCUGUUGCCCUUUGAAAAAAUUAAAGACAUUCUAAAGCUUAUUGACAACGGGAAGAAAUCAACCGAUCACACAGAGCGGCAGCGUCUCUGUCUUCUAUAUGACUUCAAUGAUGCCCCAUUCUGACCUCAGCAGAUGUAACUUCAAUGGCCAUGCAAGGAAUUCCAUGGCUGGCAAGAAGCAGAGAAGUCAACAAGUGAAUGAUCAACUCUCUUCCCUGCAUAGAUCAAUACAGGAAAGGGGUAAUGGUAACCAUGUGCUUGUGACCAAUUUAAUAGACUGAAAGAGACCCAAUUCUGCUUCUCCAGAUGGCUAUAAAUCCUGGGGAUUAUCUCGAAUUUCCUGCAAACUUUGAAGUGUCCCUCAAUUUGUUUUCAUAUGGAGGAAAGUCAGGUUGAGGGCAGGUAUUCUUAAUACUUAGAAGAAGUCCUCAUGUGUUAUGAAGACUGGCAGUACUGGAAUGAGAACAGGAGUUAUUUUACUAGUGUAGACAAGCCCUUAGUUAAGAGAUGGUGGCUUAUUUUUGAGUGAGAAGUUCCCUUACUUUGAUUCAGAACUAUUUCACUCAUGCAUAUUCCUUGAAUAAUUUAAUAUCAGCUGUUGACUUCCAUAUGUGAAUCUACAACAGAAAAAUGCCAUAUGCAUAACUCCUUGUUCACAUCACCUAAAACACAAUAUGUUUUAAUGGAAUAAAUGCCAACAAUCAAGUAGCAUUUCCUAUUUCAGUAGUAAUAUAUGGACGCAGAUAUAACAGCUAAGCUUGUAAACUAACUUGAAUUUUGGAAUGCCACUUCAAAACAAUCUGCCUCUUAGAAUUUACUAGUUCUCCAAAAGAGUAUAACAAAAUAAUAAUGUUGCUACCAUUGACCUAGCAUGAUUUUCUAUUCAGGACAUAUUUUGCUUUUCACAUCAAAGUUUCAAAUACUGAAUGAAUAGUUCUUUGCUUCAGAAAUUCUGAGAGAAGGAAAGAAAACCUGCUAUCAAAUAAAUCUUCAAGAGCCUGACACCCUUAUUAUUUCCACAUAAUUUCUUAUUCCAAUUCUUAAAUUUAAAAUAUGCCAAACUACUGCUUGGGAGAACCAAGGUAAGUAGAAUUUAACAAUACUCAGGGCUAAAUGUCAUACCUUUUGGUGUUCAACAAUGAAGGGAUUAAACUUCUUACUAUAAAAGCAGAGUGCCAGAUCAAAGCCUAACA
ensembl:lncRNA